GAAUGGGGAACUGCCUAAACAAAUUUGGUGUUGUUUUCUCUUUCUCUAAGUCUUUAAUUUCUGCAUAUAUUGAAUCUUGUGUGAAACUAAUUGGUAACUUCAUCUCGCUUAAUUGUUGUGCAUUAAAGUUGUUUGAUAAAUUGUUGCAACCACUUUGGUUGUAACUAAGGAAAAUUAUGCACUACCAAUUCUAGUGAAAUUAAGUCUUGGUGUAGUGUGCACACCAAGUGUUUGCUAAAAUUAACUUCACACAAGUUUAUCAAUAUUUUGCUUAUUUUCUCAUUGUUU
rnacentral:lncRNA from 1 species